CCUACGGGUGGCAGCAGUGGGGAAUAUUGCACAAUGGGGGAAACCCUGAUGCAGCGACGCCGCGUGAGUGAAGAAGUAUUUCUGUAUGUUAAGCUCUAUCAGCAUGGAAGUAAAUGACGGUACCUGUUUAAGAAUCCCCGGCUAACUACGUGCCAGCAGCCGCGGUAAUACGUAGGGGGCAAGCGUUAUCCGGAUUUACUGGGUGUAAAGGGAGCGUAGACGGCAUGACAAGUCUGGAGUGAAAUGCCGGGGCUUAACCCUGGAACUGCAUUGGAAACUGUGCAGCUAGAGUGCAGGAGAGGUAAGUGGAAUUCGUGGUGUAGCGGUGAAAUGCGUAGAUAUUAGGAGGAACACCAGUGGCGAAGGCGGCUUACUGGACUGUAACUGACGUUGAGGCUCGAAAGCGUGGGGAGCAAACAGGAUUAGAUACCCUGGUAGUC
rnacentral:rRNA from 1 species